rnacentral:lncRNA from 1 species
UUAAUUUUUUUUUUCAUCCAAGUCAUAGUUUACAAGAACAAUUCACGAGCCACAAUGUUUAUGAACCAGGAACAAACUUGGUGGCAUAGACCCAAGCAUUGUUAGCCACAGGGUUAUCCAAAUGGUCCAAAAGGUUCUCCAAUGGUCCUUUUCCUGUCACAAUUGCUUGCACAAAGAACCCAAACAUUGAAAACAUUGCUAGUCUUCCAUUCUUGAUUUCCUUCACCUUCAACUCAGCAAAAGUAAUCGGGUCGUCCGCAAGGCCCAAUGGGUCAAAGUAUUGACCACCCGGGUAGAGGUUGUUACCAUCUCCAACACCCUCAAGCCCGUUAAUACGGAACCCUUCAACUAGGCCCAUUAGGACCACUUGGAAACCGAGUACCGCUAAUAUGCUUUGGGCGUGGACUAGGUUUGGGUUGCCCAAAUAGUCUAGCCCGCCUUCGGAGAAGAUUUGGGCUCCGGCUUUGAACCAAACGGGCUCCUUGAAAUCUACUUUCACCCAUUUCUCGAGCACUUCGGGGGUGAUGCACCCGAAUGCUCCUAGCAUCGCCCAUCUCCCUUUGAUUACCUCAAGAGCCCGGUUCUUGGCAAAAGCCUCAGGAUCAGCGGAUAAACCGGCGGUGUCCCAACCAUAGUCACCCGGGAAUUCACCGGUCAAGUAUGAUGGUGUUUGGGCCGAAAAAGGUCCCAAGUACUUCACUCGGUCCGGUCCAUACCACAACUCAUUUCCCUGUUCAGUUUCACAACAUAUAUCAUCAGCAUCCUACAACUUUUGGAGCUUAUUCUUCAUUCACAUACAUAGACAUAUACAUGCAUACAUAAAGAUGCGUCCGUUCAAUAGAUAACCAGUUUUAAGUAGAGAACUGAGAGAAUCGCAAUAAGUAGUUGAAGGUAGUGCUCAUGAGAUGCAAUAGUAGAGUGAAAAGAUGACGGUUAGGCGGUUACAUAACCGUCUUAUGUUAUGUAUCACAUUAAAACAAUUAGUAUGCAAUUCUCGCAGUUAUAUACUUAAAACUAGUUCAGUAGAGAACUAGAGAUGGAGAUAUGCAAUACCAUGGUGAACUUGCCAUUGACCAUGGAAACAGAAUCUCUAAGGGAGUUAACAUUGGAGGCUCUAGUUUGACCCAAGAAAGGGGUGGCUCUGACAACAGU